rnacentral:rRNA from 1 species
AAUGAAAGUGAAGGCCCCCUCCGUCGGGGGGCUUAGGUGGGAUCCCCCGGUUCUUGCGGGGGGGGCACCACCGGCCCGUCGGGACCCUUUGCCACCCUGGUUGCGGUGGGGAAGAGUUGGAGAGGUCAGGGGGAGCUAAAGGGCAACCGUUGGAACCCGAAAGAUGGGGAACUAUGCCUGAGCAGGGUGAAGGCAGGGGAAACCCUGGGGGAGGACCGUAGCGAUUCUGACGUGCAAAUCGAUCGUCCGACUUGGGUAUAGGGGCGAAAGAUUAAUCAAACCUUCUAGAAGUUGGUUCCCUCCGAAGUUUCCCUCAGGAUAGCAGGGGUUCGAGGGUUCGGUUUUAUCCGGAAAAGCGAAUGAUAAGAGGCUUUGGGGUCGAAACGUCCUCAACUUAUUCUCAAACUUUAAAUGGUUAAAAAGCCCCGUUGGUUGGUUUGCAGCGGCGG